rnacentral:lncRNA from 1 species
AUAAAUUCAAGCCUUUGGAAAGGUAUGAAAGACUCAAACAAAAACUUCAAGUAGGCCUGAAGUACUAAAGUCUUACUAUGGCGAUGUUUAAACUCGGUUUGGUUCUCACUAUUCUUCUCGUGGCAACUACAUGUUAGUAUUCCGUUUAUCUUUAUCUCUAGUUUGUUCUGUUGUCGUUGACCCCUUGUGUAUAUGAUCUAUAACAAUAAAAAAAAAUAAAAAAAAGUAGUCCGGUGCAGAAAGCAUCCCGUAUCUAUGCAGGGUCUCGGGAAGGGCCGCACCUUAAAAGAUGUGAUGUAGAUAACCUACCCUAAUACAACUACUAGUGAUUGUUUCAACGGCUCGAACCCCUGACCUAUAGGUCACACGGAGACAACUUUACCGUUGUUCCAAAACUCUCCUUGUAAAUGAUAUACAAUAUACAUAUAUUUGAUAUGUAUGCAUGAAUAUGUAUGCGUUCCUAUGUCUUGCGAUUGAUUGUUUUGCUUUUCAUGUUAUACUUGUCAUCAUUUAAUUUUGAUAAUAUAUGUUGGUAAAAUAUUUCAGUCAAUAUGGUGUGGUUUUCAAACACACAUGUGGAUGCUGCACGAAAUGCUGAUAUGGAUAUCUCAGGACUCGAGAGGAGACUACUGCCACAACUUAAUUCCUGGAUUACCUGUAACAACAAAUGUAUCGUAAAUAGUGAUUGUCAUGGUUGCUGGUUUUGCUGCACAUGUACAACUUGGAAGUUAUGUGGGUAUAUUGCUUGAAAGUAGUAUAUUACUGAUUAAUUGCAUGCAACAAACUCUGCAAAAUCCUUCAUAUUUAUCUGCGUUUCCGUGUGGUUUUACUGUUUUUAUUUUGUUUUGUUUCAUGCUUUGUAUAAUAAUGAAGUCAAGUGAAGGGCUUUCUCUGUUGUAAGGAAUAAUAAUGUAUUACAGCUUGUUGGAUAGUUGUUACGUGUUGGUAUUGUAUUGUUACUUUAAAUAUAAUGAUUGUCUUGAUUGUUACUUAAAUUUAUAUUGUAUCGUAUCGAAAUGAAUCAUGAAAAAUGCAAUUUUAUGGAACGACCGAUUUGGUGCGGUCGCAUCAUUACCUUUUUUUUUCCUUAUCUUACCCUUCC